AGGAGUUUAGGUUACACAGACCAAGGGCCUUCAAAGCCCUAAGCAAAUAAUUUUAUUUAACUCCUG
rnacentral:tRNA from 2 species